CAGUUGGUAAUGAUGGAGAGACAGACGGCAGGAAGUGCUCUGGUGUUUAAUAAAGGUAAUGUUGGUUCAGCAGGAAGUCCUCUGGUGUUUCAUAAAGGUCAUGUUGGUUCAGCAGGAAGUCCUCUGGUGUUUCAUAAAGGUCAUGUUGUUUCAGCAGGAAGUCCUCUGGUGUUUAAUAAAGGUCAUGUUGGUUCAGCAGGAAGUCCUCUGGUGUUUCAUAAAGGUCAUGUUGGUUCAGCAGGAAGUCCUCUGGUGUUUCAUAAAGGUCAUGUUGGUUCAGCAGGAAGUCCUCUGGUGUUUAAUAAAGGUCAUGUUGGUUCAGCAGGAAGUCCUCUGGUGUUUAAUAAAGGUCAUGUUGGUUCAGCAGGAAGUCCUCUGGUGUUUAAUAAAGGUCAUGUUGGUUCAGCAGGAAGUCCUCUGGUGUUUAAUAAAGGUCAUGUUGGUUCAGCAGGAAGUCCUCUGGUGUUUCAUAAAGGUCAUGUUGGUUCAGCAGGAAGUCCUCUGGUGUUUAAUAAAGGUCAUGUUGGUUCAGCAGGAAGUCCUCUGGUGUUUAAUAAAGGUCAUGUUGGUUCAGCAGGAAGUCCUCUGGUGUUUAAUAAAGGUCAUGUUGGUUCAGCAGGAAGUCCUCUGGUGUUUAAUAAAGGUCAUGUUGGUUCAGCAGGAAGUCCUCUGGUGUUUAAUAAAGAUCAACAGCUAAUGCUAGCCAGAUCAACAACUAAUGCUAGCCAGAUCAACAGCUAAUGCUAGCCAGAUCAAUAACUGAUGCUAGCCAGA